UUGAAAAUUUGCCCUCAAAUCGGGAGAGAACCCCCUCAAAAUUAAAAUAUAUCAAAAAGCAAAAAAA
rnacentral:rRNA from 1 species